UCUACGGGAGGCAGCAGUGGGGAAUAUUGGACAAUGGGGGCAACCCUGAUCCAGCAAUGCCGCGUGAGUGAUGAAGGCCUUAGGGUUGUAAAGCUCUUUUACCCGGGAUGAUAAUGACAGUACCGGGAGAAUAAGCUCCGGCUAACUCCGUGCCAGCAGCCGCGGUAAUA
rnacentral:rRNA from 1 species